GAUGAACGCUGGCGGCGUGCCUAAUACAUGCAAGUCGAGCGAACGGACGAGAAGCUUGCUCCUCUGAUGUUAGCGGCGGACGGGUGAGUAACACGUGGAUAACCUACCUAUAAGACUGGGAUAACUUCGGGAAACCGGAGCUAAUACCGGAUAAUAUUUUGAACCGCAUGGUUCAAAAGUGAAAGACGGUUUUGCUGUCACUUAUAGAUGGAUCCGCGCUGCAUUAGCUAGUUGGUAAGGUAACGGCUUACCAAGGCAACGAUGCAUAGCCGACCUGAGAGGGUGAUCGGCCACACUGGAACUGAGACACGGUCCAGACUCCUACGGGAGGCAGCAGUAGGGAAUCUUGCGCAAUGGGCGAAAGCCUGACGGAGCAACGCCGCGUGAGUGAUGAAGGUCUUCGGAUCGUAAAACUCUGUUAUUAGGGAAGAACAUAUGUGUAAGUAACUGUGCACAUCUUGACGGUACCUAAUCAGAAAGCCACGGCUAACUACGUG
rnacentral:rRNA from 1 species